rnacentral:rRNA from 1 species
AACGAACGCUGGCGGCAUGCCUAACACAUGCAAGUCGAACGAUCCCUUCGGGGAUAGUGGCGCACGGGUGCGUAACGCGUGGGAACCUGCCCUUAGGUUCGGAAUAACUCAGAGAAAUUUGAGCUAAUACCGGAUAAUGUCUUCGGACCAAAGAUUUAUCGCCUUUGGAUGGGCCCGCGUUGGAUUAGCUAGUUGGUGGGGUAAAGGCCUACCAAGGCGACGAUCCAUAGCUGGUCUGAGAGGAUGGUCAGCCACACUGGGACUGAGACACGGCCCAGACUCCUACGGGAGGCAGCAGUGGGGAAUAUUGGACAAUGGGCGAAAGCCUGAUCCAGCAAUGCCGCGUGAGUGAUGAAGGCCUUAGGGUUGUAAAGCUCUUUUACCCGGGAUGAUAAUGACAGUACCGGGAGAAUAAGCCCCGGCUAACUCCGUG